GGUCCUGCGCCGAAAAUGUCCGGGGCUAAAACACGACACCGAAGCUGUGGAUCCGAAAGGAUGGUAGAGGAGCAUUCUUAAGUCGACGAAGCUGUACUGUAAGGAGCAGUGGAGAGUUAAGAAGAGAGAAUGCCGGAAUGAGUAGCGAGAUUUAAGUGAGAAUCUUAAAGGCCGAAUAUCUAAGGUUUCCAGGGUAAAGCUGAUCUUCCCUGGGUAAGUCGGGGCCUAAGGCGAGGGCGAGAGCCGUAGUCGAUGGAUAACAGGUUGAAAUUCCUGUACUGCUUAUGGACAGAACUGUGGGGACGCAGAAGGAGAGCACGAGCCGGAAAUGGAAAAGCCGGUACAAGCGUAUAGCAGUCAUGCAGGCAAAACCGCAUGAAAAAUGUAAAGCGUUAUGUGGAUCGAACAUUAGUAGAGAAGCGUGUGAGCCAGCUGCCAAGAAAAGCCGCUAUUGCUUCAUAAGUACCCGUACCGUAAACCGACACAGGUGGAUGAGGAGAGAAUCCUAAGGCCGGCGGGAGAAGUGUUGUUAAGGAACUCGGCAAAAUGACUCCGUAACUUCGGGAGAAGGAGUGCCACAGAGAUGUGGCCGCAGAGAAAUGGCCCAAGCAACUGUUUAGCAAAAACACAGGUCUAUGCAAAACCGAAAGGUGAGGUAUAUGGGCUGACGCCUGCCCGGUGCUGGAAGGUUAAGAGGAGAGGUUAGAGCAAUCGAAGCUUUGAAUUUAAGCCCCAGUAAACGGCGGCCGUAACUAUAACGGUCCUAAGGUAGCGAAAUUCCUUGUCGGGUAAGUUCCGACCCGCACGAAAGGCGUAAUGAUUUGGGCACUGUCUCAACAACACACCCGGUGAAAUUGAAAUACCAGUGAAGAUGCUGGUUACCUGCGCCAGGACGGAAAGACCCCAUGGAGCUUUACUCCAGUUUGAUACUGGGAUUCGGUACUGUCUGUACAGGAUAGGUGGGAGGCUAGGAAAUGGUGACGCCAGUUGCCAUGGAGCCAACCUUGGGAUACCACCCUUACAGUACUGGGUUUCUAACCUGCAGCCGUAACCCGGCUGGGGGACAAUGUCUGACGGGGAGUUUGACUGGGGCGGUCGCCUCCGAAAGAGUAUCGGAGGCGCUCAAAGGUUCCCUCAGAACGGUUGGAAACCGUUCGAAGAGUGCAAAGGCAGAAGGGAGCUUGACUGCGACACCGACGGGUGGAGCAGGUACGAAAGUAGGACUUAGUGAUCCGGUGGUAUAAAGUGGGAUUGCCAUCGCUCAACGGAUAAAAGCUACCCUGGGGAUAACAGGCUUAUCACUCCCAAGAGUUCACAUCGACGGAGUGGUUUGGCACCUCGAUGUCGGCUCAUCGCAUCCUGGAGCUGUAGCAGGUUCCAAGGGUUGGGCUGUUCGCCCAUUAAAGCGGUACGCGAGCUGGGUUCAGAACGUCGUGAGACAGUUCGGUCCCUAUCCGGCGUGGGCGUAGGAUAUUUGAGAGGAGCUGUCCUUAGUACGAGAGGACCGGGAUGGACAAACCUCUGGUGUAUCUGUUGUUUUACCAAAGGCAUGGCAGAGUAGCCAAGUUUGGCAGGGAUAAACGCUGAAGGCAUCUAAGCGUGAAGCCCCCCUCAAGAUAAGAUAUCCCAUCUUCGGAGUAAGACCCCUUGA
rnacentral:rRNA from 1 species